rnacentral:rRNA from 1 species
UGAGGAAUUUUGCGCAAUGGGGGAAACCCUGACGCAGCAACGCCGCGUGAGUGAUGAAGGCCUUCGGGUCGUAAAGCUCUGUCAAGUGGGAAGAACCUGCUCUGUGAUAACACCACGGGGCACCGACGGUACCACUGAAGGAAGCACCGGCUAACUCCGUGCCAGCAGCCGCGGUAAUACGGGGGGUGCAAGCGUUAUUCGGAAUCAUUGGGCGUAAAGGGCGCGUAGGCGGUCUUUUAAGUCAGAUGUGAAAGCCCUCGGCUUAACCGAGGAAGUGCAUUUGAUACUAAAAGACUUGAGUAUGGGAGAGGGAAGCGGAAUUCCUGGUGUAGCGGUGAAAUGCGUAGAUAUCGGGAGGAACACCAGUGGCGAAGGCGAGUCUCUGGGCUGAUACUGACGCUGAGGCGCGAAAGCUAGGGGAGCAAACGGGAUUAGAUACCCCGGUAGUCCUAGCCGUAAACGGUGGGCACUAGGUGUUGGAGGCAUCGACCCCUCCAGUGCCGCAGCUAACGCAUUAAGUGCCCCGCCUGGGGAGUACGGCCGCAAGGUUG